CACUCUUGGAGACACGAGGAUGGGAACUGGAGACAUUACCGCCUGGACUGCCCUAAUGCUAAGUGCAAGGGCUUUGGCCACUCGCCCAGGAAGGCGGAAUAUGGAGAGCGGCCGACUAAGUGCAGAAAAGUAUCUGGAGCUAAAAGGGCUUGGAGCCCGGCGACAAGGGUUUGAGAGGGGCAUUUAUGCUCCCAUUCAGUGAAAUCAGUGGAUCAAUAUCAGCUCCAUGUGGUCUGGAACUGCAGGAGGAAGAAAGCAACUACUGCAUAAAGAAAAACCCAGAAAAAAUGGAA
rnacentral:lncRNA from 1 species